UUGAGCAAAUUCUCUAUACAUUUUUAAUAUUUAUGUUAUUACUGUGAGCUGAUAUUGAACGUUAGCACAGGAAGACCUUUUUCAAGAAUGAAGUUUCUUUAUUUUCUGAUUCUACUUCUGCCUUUUCUGGUUACUGUAGUGAAUUGCUGCGACGCUAAACACUUUACAGAUGCAAGGAAAGAAAAAAGAAUAUUCUGUACAGGAGAUAGCGGUUGUCCUACAAAUAAACAAUGCAGAUACAAUCCCGAUUUUCAGGGCAGCGUCUGCGUUUAGCCAAAUCUGCUGCUACACCAAGUCUAAAUCAAUUCUGCAGUUACUUACAUGAUGUGAUGUCUUUUGUUUUGAAGCAAUAGAUUGAAAUUAAAAAAAAUUCUUUGACAAAUAAUUAGCCGAUUAAGCUAAGCCUCUAUCUGCACACGAUGUACAACUGAGAAUACCCUACACAAACAUAUACAUUACUACAAUAACCUAACAUAGAACUGUGUUCAUUCCCCUCUACCCCAACU